rnacentral:rRNA from 1 species
AUUGAACGCUGGCGGCAGGCCUAACACAUGCAAGUCGAACGAGUGGCGGACGGGUGAGUAAUGUUUGGGAAACUGCCUGAUGGAGGGGGAUAACUACGGGAAACGGUAGCUAAUACCGCAUACCAUCAGAUGUGCCCAGAUGGGAUUAGCUUGUUGGUGGGGUAAUGGCUCACCAAGGCGACGCUCCCUAGCUGGUCUGAGAGGAUGACCAGCCACACCGGAACUGAGACACGGUCCGGACUCCGACGGGAGGCAGCAGUGGGGAAUAUUGCACAAUGGGCGCAAGCCUGAUGCAGCCAUGCCGCGGGUGUGAAGAAGGCCUUCGGGUUGUAAAGCACUUUCAGCGGGGAGGCGUUACCCGCAGAAGAAGCACCGGCUAACUCCGUGCCAGCCGCCGCGGUAAUUC